AGUGAACCCUGCCCGUAGGCCUAACACAUGCAAGUCGAACGGCACCACAGUAAGAGCUUGCUCUUACGGGUGGCGAGUGGCGGUCGGGUUCUGUAUACAUCGGAAUCUACUUUUUCGUGUGGGCUAACGUAGGGAAACUUACGCUAAUACCGCUUACGACCCACACUUGAAAGCCUGGGAUCUUCUGACUUCUCGCGUUUGAAUGAACCGAUGUGGGGUUAGCUAGUUGGCGGGGUAAAGGCCCACCAAGGCGACGAUCCGUAUCUGGUCUGAGAAGCUGACGAGCCAGAUUGGAACGGAGACACGGUCCACACUCCUACGGGAGGCAGGAGUGGGGAUUAUUGGACAAUGGGCGCAGGCGUGAUCCAGCCAUACCGAGUGAGUGAAGAAGGCGUUCGGGUUGUAAAGCCCUUUUGUGGGGAAAGAAAAGCAUCAGGUUAAUACCCAGCUGUUCUGACGGUACACAAAGAAUAGGCGCCGGCUAACUUCGUG
rnacentral:rRNA from 1 species